GACGAACGCUGGCGGCGUGCUUAACACAUGCAAGUCGAACGGAAAGGCCUCUUGCUUGCAAGGGGUACUCGAGUGGCGAACGGGUGAGUAACACGUGGGUGAUCUGCCUUGCACUUCGGGAUAAGCCUGGGAAACUGGGUCUAAUACCGGAUAGGACCAUGCUUUAGUGUGUGUGGUGGAAAGUUUUUCGGUGCGAGAUGAGCCCGCGGCCUAUCAGCUUGUUGGUGGGGUAAUGGCCUACCAAGGCGACGACGGGUAGCCGGCCUGAGAGGGUGUACGGCCACAUUGGGACUGAGACACGGCCCAG
rnacentral:rRNA from 1 species